AUUGAACGCUGGCGGCAUGCCUAACACAUGCAAGUCGAACGAGUGGCGGACGGGUGAGUAAUUUCUGGGAAACUGCCUGAUGUAGGGGUAUAACUACUGUAACCGGUAGCUACUACCGCUUCCCGUCGUAUGUGCCCAGAUGGGAUUAGCUAGUAGGUGGGGUAACGGCUCUCCUAGGCGCAGAUCCCUAGCUGGUCUGAGAGGAUGACCAGCCACACUGGGACUGAGACACGGUCCAGACUCCGACGGGAGGCAGCAGUGGGGAAUAUUGCACAAUGGGCGAAAGCCUGAUGCAGCCAUGCCGCGGGUGUGAAGAAGGCCUUCGGGUUGUAAAGCACUUUCAGCGGGGAGGCGUUACCCGAAGAGGAAGCAACGGCUAACUCCGUGCCAGCAGCCGCGGUAAUAC
rnacentral:rRNA from 1 species